UACGUAGGGGGCGAGCGUUGUCCGGAUUUAUUGGGCGUAAAGAGCGUGUAGGCGGCCAGGUAGGUCUGCUGUGAAAACUCGAGGCUCAACCUCGAGACGUCGGCGGAAACCAUCUGGCUAGAGUCCGGAAGAGGAGAGUGGAAUUCCUGGUGUAGCGGUGAAAUGCGUAGAUAUUGGGAAGAACACCUGAGGCGAAGGCGGGUUGCUGGGCCGACACUGACGCUGAGGCGCGAAAGCCAGGGGAGCGAACGGG
rnacentral:rRNA from 1 species